CUGCGGCGUCAGAGAGAGCGUUGUGUGUGCAAAGGGUGCAAAGUGUAAGUGUCUCCCGGCAGCUUUGAAAAAUCUUAGUGCAGUGGCAGUUCGUUCGAAUCCUAAUUGGCGAGGAUGACUUUUAUGACAAACGGAUAUUAAGAAACCGAGGCAGCUGCACUCGAGGUGAUUUCAUCGAGUCACGGGUGGAUAAAUGAAAGCGGGGGCAAGAAAGCCGUCGGGACGGAGAAAGAGAGACCGUGGGGGACGCCAAUAACUCGCGUACCCACUAAUUCUACUGGCAGUACUCGAGGUUUGGCCAUGAACAUGACGUCGCAUCUCGAGGGUAACCGCGACCGACGGCGAAACAUUCGUCCACUGUGAAGCCGGAAGGCCGC